GGUUAAGCGACUAAGCGUACACGGUGGAUGCCCUGGCAGUCAGAGGCGAUGAAGGGCGUGCUAAUCUGCGAUAAGCGCCGGUAAGGUGAUAUGAACCGUUAUAACCGGCGAUACCCGAAUGGGGAAACCCAGUGUGAUUCGUCACACUAUCAUUAACUGAAUCCAUAGGUUAAUGAGGCGAACCGGGGGAACUGAAACAUCUAAGUACCCCGAGGAAAAGAAAUCAACCGAGAUUCCCCCAGUAGCGGCGAGCGAACGGGGAGGAGCCCAGAGCCUGAAUCAGCAUGUGUGUUAGUGGAAGCGUCUGGAAAGGCGCGCGAUACAGGGUGACAGCCCCGUACACAAAAGCGUAUGUGCUGUGAGCUCGAUGAGUAGGGCGGGACACGUGGUAUCCUGUCUGAAUAUGGGGGGACCAUCCUCCAAGGCUAAAUACUCCUGACUGACCGAUAGUGAACCAGUACCGUGAGGGAAAGGCGAAAAGAACCCCGGCGAGGGGAGUGAAAAAGAACCUGAAACCGUGUACGUACAAGCAGUGGGAGCACCCUUUGGGGUGUGACUGCGUACCUUUUGUAUAAUGGGUCAGCGACUUAUAUUCUGUAGCGAGGUUAACCGAAUAGGGGAGCCGGAGGGAAACCGAGUCUUAAUUGGGCGUUAAGUUGCAGGGUAUAGACCCGAAACCCGGUGAUCUAGCCAUGGGCAGGUUGAAGGUUGGGUAACACUAACUGGAGGACCGAACCGACUAAUGUUGAAAAAUUAGCGGAUGACCUGUGGCUGGGGGUGAAAGGCCAAUCAAACCGGGAGAUAGCUGGUUCUCCCCGAAAGCUAUUUAGGUAGCGCCUCGUGAAUUCAUCUCCGGGGGUAGAGCACUGUUUCGGCUAGGGGGUCAUCCCGACUUACCAACCCGAUGCAAACUGCGAAUACCGGAGAAUGUUAUCACGGGAGACACACGGCGGGUGCUAACGUCCGUCGUGAAGAGGGAAACAACCCAGACCGCCAGCUAAGGUCCCAAAGUCAUGGUUAAGUGGGAAACGAUGUGGGAAGGCACAGACAGCCAGGAUGUUGGCUUAGAAGCAGCCAUCAUUUAAAGAAAGCGUAAUAGCUCACUGGUCGAGUCGGCCUGCGCGGAAGAUGUAACGGGGCUAAACCAUGCACCGAAGCUGCGGCAGCGACACUCAGGUGUUGUUGGGUAGGGGAGCGUUCUGUAAGCCUGUGAAGGUGGCCUGUGAGGGUUGCUGGAGGUAUCAGAAGUGCGAAUGCUGACAUAAGUAACGAUAAAGCGGGUGAAAAGCCCGCUCGCCGGAAGACCAAGGGUUCCUGUCCAACGUUAAUCGGGGCAGGGUGAGUCGACCCCUAAGGCGAGGCCGAAAGGCGUAGUCGAUGGGAAACGGGUUAAUAUUCCCGUACUUGGUGUUACUGCGAAGGGGGGACGGAGAAGGCUAUGUUGGCCGGGCGACGGUUGUCCCGGUUUAAGCGUGUAGGUGUGUGUUCCAGGUAAAUCCGGUUCACUUUAACACUGAGGCGUGA
rnacentral:rRNA from 1 species